ensembl:rRNA 5S_rRNA 5S ribosomal RNA
GUCUACAGCCAUACCAUCCUGAACGCGCCUGAUCUCAUCUGAUCUCGGAAGCUUAGCCGAGUUGCGCCUGUUUAGUACUUGGAUGGGAGACCACCUGGAAAUACUGGGCACUGUAGGCU